UGUUAAAAAUUUCAUCCAUUUCUACUGUUAAAAACUGGCGUAACUGAUGUAAAAAUCACACCAGUGUACCUUAUGUUGACAUACAAUGAUCAAUUUUUAAAAAAUGAAUGAAUUUUUAAUA
rfam:Gossypium raimondii Chr08_contig_1321, whole genome shotgun sequence.